rnacentral:rRNA from 1 species
AGGACGCUGGCGGUAGGCCUAACACAUGCAAUUCGAACGGCAGCACAGGAGAGCUUGCUCUCUGGGUGGCGAGUGGCGGACGGGUGAGGAAUACAUCGGAAUCUACUUUUUCGUGGGGGAUAACGUAGGGAAACUUACGCUAAUACCGCAUACGACCUACGGGUGAAAGCAGGGGACCUUCGGGCCUUGCGCGAUUGAAUGAGCCGAUGUCGGAUUAGCUAGUUGGCGGGGUAAAGGCCCACCAAGGCGACGAUCCGUAGCUGGUCUGAGAGGAUGAUCAGCCACACUGGAACUGAGACACGGUCCAGACUCCUACGGGAGGCAGCAGUGGGGAAUAUUGGACAAUGGGCGCAAGCCUGAUCCAGCCAUACCGCGUGGGUGAAGAAGGCCUUCGGGUUGUAAAGCCCUUUUGUUGGGAAAGAAAUCCAGCUGGCUAAUACCCGGUUGGGAUGACGGUACCCAAAGAAUAAGCACCGGCUAACUUCGUGCCAGCAGCCGCGGUAAUACGAAGGGUGCAAGCGUUACUCGGAAUUACUGGGCGUAAAGCGUGCGUAGGUGGUCGUUUAAGUCCGUUGUGAAAGCCCUGGGCUCAACCUGGGAACUGCAGUGGAUACUGGGCGACUAGAGUGUGGUAGAGGGUAGCGGAAUUCCUGGUGUAGCAGU